AGCCUGUACUGUUUUAGAUCCAUCGGAGGACUAUUGAAGUCUCAAGUUCAUUAGCAAUGGGUAGUUUUAGUUUCAGUUUGAAGUCUUUAACCCUUUUUGCUUUGCUUGUUUCAAGUGUUGUCCUGUCCGAAAGCCGGGUGGCAAGAAAGGACCUGGGGAUAGACCUUGGUGGGAUUGGGGUUGGAGUGGGAGCUGGAUUAGGGAUUGGGCUCGGUGGGAGUGGAGCUGGCUCAGGUGCUGGAUCGGGGUCCGGGUCUAGCUCUAGCUCCAGCUCUAGCUCAAGCUCAUCUUCUUCGUCGAGAUCCAAUGGGUCGGGCUCUUCCGAAGCAGGUUCGUCUGCUGGUUCAUAUGCCGGGUCUAGGGCUGGGUCAGGCUCAGGAAACCGAGGGCGUGGAUAAGAGGCUCUAGCCAUGCAUGCAUGGAACUGUAGCUCGUGGCAUGAGAUUAGUGACAAGUUUCACCUUAUUCAGCUAAAAAUGUAUGAAAUUAUGAAUUUCAAUAAAUAAUGAAGUAGAUGGUGCUAUCAAAAAAGAAGGUGGUGGUGAGUGUGAUUGUCUGUAAUAUGUUGUACCUUUCUUAGAGUGUGUGUCAAUAAAAGAAUUGGCCAUGUCUUUGCAUAUUUCUUCCAUUAACUAUCCCUAUCAUGUUCUUUUCUGGUG
rnacentral:lncRNA from 1 species